rnacentral:piRNA from 1 species
UCAGCCCAUUGCGGUCUCUCUGCCUUCGU